UACAGAGGGUGCGAGCAUUAAUCGGAUUUAUUGGGCGUAAAGGGCGUCUAGGCGGGAUUGUAAGUCAGGUGUGAAAUUUCGGAGCUCAACUUCGAAGCUGCACUUGAAACUACAAUUCUUGAGGGUAGGCGGAGAAAGCGGAAUUCCACGUGUAGCGGUGAAAUGCGUAGAUAUGUGGAAGAACACCCGUGGCGAAAGCAGCUUUCUAGCUUAUUCCUGACGCUGAAGCGCGAAAGCAAGGGGAGCAAACAGG
rnacentral:misc_RNA from 1 species